UGCUGAUCAACUUGUGGUCCAACACAUGCAUAGGCGUUUGAAUCAUCUCAACUGAUUUACAUUUCACCCCAAACUUGGCAUAUAGAACACAAAUUAACGAAGGAUGGGGUAAACCUCCUGUGGUUCCACCUCGAGAUGGUCGGAGAAUGGACUGCUGGAUCAUGUGACCGACAUCUAUUUGCAAGCCAUGAAUAAUUGAAUAUAGCAGCACCGCUCAUUCUUUGGUGACAUGGCUCACAUGUGUGCAUGGCAUGAGUUUGGCACUGAUAAAAGUAUACCACGCCUUCCCAUAUAGACUGAGGUGAGAAUGGGGGAAGGUUAUGCUACCACCUUCAUACACUGUCCAUGUGGUGCCUGGUUGACACAGCUCUCAGAUUAUUUUCUAAUAGUCUGGACCUUGGCUCAAAAGACCGGCAUACUCAUCGUUAACCUCUUCCAAAUUCAGUUGGUAACACCCAUUGAUGUCCUCUUCACCGAUUUCCACGGUUUUUCCCCUCACAAACACUUCAUAGUGAUCAUGUUCUAGAACGUUGGCAUAGAAUUCUUUCACGACUGCAAUCACUGCCGGGUUAGGUUGUUCGGUGAGGGAGAACCAGUUUCUUUCAGUAAUCAUCACUGCUAUUUCUCCAUCCUUGGUUUGAUCAGGACAUAGACCACGUUCGGGGACUAAUGAGCGGGUGGCCAUGUGGUUAUAGCAUUCCUGUGCCUCGGCGGAGACAAACCGGUGGCUAUCAAAUCUCGGUGGGGCCGAGGAGGUUCCUGAACCGUCGCCACAUUGACUGUGACGCCC
rnacentral:lncRNA from 1 species